AAGUCGUAACAAGGUUUCCGUAGGUGAACCUGCGGAAGGAUCAUUAAUGAAAGCCGGGGCGAGGUUGUAGCUGGCUUCCCCACCGGNNUCGCGACGUGCACGCCUCGUCUUUGUCUCUCUCACACACCUGUGCACCUCUGCGUGGGUCACGAGCGUUCACUCGUUCGGGGCUCGCGUCCUUUUGACACUACACACACCCCUUUGCAUGUUAUCGGAACGCUUCGUUCGCCGUGGUGGCGAAUAGAACUUGUACAACUUUCAACAACGGAUCUCUUGGCUCUCGCAUCGAUGAAGAACGCAGCGAAAUGCGAUAAGUAAUGUGAAUUGCAGAAUUCUGUGAAUCAUCGAAUCUUUGAACGCACCUUGCGCCUCUUGGUAUUCCGAGGGGCACGCCUGUUUGAGUAUCGUGAAAUCGUCAACCCGACUCUUUUUUUUCNNCUUUCGGGAUAGAGAGAAGGGCUUGGACUUUGNAGGUUCUUGCUGGUCCCUUUGUCUGGACCGGCUCCUCUCGAAUGCAUUAGUGNAGCUCGUCUGCUCUCUCUGCCUCUCGGUGUGAUAAACCUGANCUGCGCCGACGUGUGAGGGAGGANGAAGCGCCNCUUCUAACCCGGNCUCGCCUUCACCUUCUAGGGGGUGNCGNGUGUUGCCUUUAGAACCCACAGAUCUCAAAUCAGGCGGGACUACCCGCUGAACUUAAGCAUAUCAAUAAGCGGAGGANGAGAAACUAACCAGGAUUCCCCUAGUAACUGCGAGUGAANCNGGAAAAGCUCAAAUUUGAANUCUGGCGGUCUUUGGCCGUNCGAGUUGUAGUCUGGAGAAGCNCUUUCCGCGCCGGACCGUGUACAAGUCNUCUGGAACGGGGCGUCGUAGAGGGUGAGAAUCCCGUCUUUGACACGGACUACCGGUGCUCUGUGAUGCGCUCUCGAAGAGUCGAGUUGUUUGGGAAUGCAGCUCAAAAUGGGUGGUGAAUUCCAUCUAAAGCUAAAUAUUGGCGAGAGACCGAUAGCGAACAAGUACCGUGAGGGAAAGAUGAAAAGCACUUUGGAAAGAGAGUUAAACAGUACGUGAAAUUGUUGAAAGGGAAACGCUUGAGGUCAGUCGCGUCGUCCGGGAUUCAGCCUUGCGAUCGCUCGCUCGGUGCACUUUCCGGUUUGACGGGCCAGCAUCGAUUUCGGUCGUCGGACAAAGGUGGGGGAAACGUGGCACCCUUUGGGGUGUGUUUAUAGUCCCUCGUCGGUAUACGACGGUCGGGAUCGAGGAACUCGGCACGCCCUCGUGGUCGGGGCUUCGGCCCACGUCUCGUGCUUAGAAUGCUGGCGUAAUGGCCUUAAACGACC
rnacentral:rRNA from 1 species